rnacentral:lncRNA from 1 species
CUUCUCUCUGCCCGUCUCUGCUUCCCCCCCCUUCCCCCCCCCCUUUUCUCCCGGCCGACGGAGCUGAAGGGGCGGGGGUUCCUUCCUUGGAGUGUUUCUAGAGCUCGGAGGCUGCUGGUAGGGGGAAGUUGUACCCGUCAGCACCUGCUGAGGGCUUUGUUGUCCAAACCCUGACAGGUAAAAAAAUUCCUGCAGAAUAAAGCCAGACCAGCUGGCUUUGAAGAGAAACCCCCCAGUUUGGGCUGCGUUUGCCUCCUCUCCUUUUCUAUGAAGACCGAGGCUUUGCCCCCUUGAUCGUCAAGCCGUGAGAUGCGUGAUCUCUCUGCACAAGUGUCUGGCAGGCCGAGGUGCACCUGUUUCUGUCACUCUGGAGUAAAUUUAGCUGUAAAGGUAUCACUGACAACCAGACCUUUGUCAGUGCUGGCAAAAGAACACAGAAUUGCUUCCCUCCCCUCCCCCCUCCCGACCCCCUAUGCUGCUAGUUCCAAUGGAAAAUAUCCAAUCGGAAGUCUAUCCAAAAAUCAUUCCUAAAAAAUGAAAUUGCUUUCAUAUGGUAUAAAAAAGUAAGUUUCCUCAUUUCAAGCAGAUUUUAAAAUUACAUUUCCAAGAAUAAUCUUGGAACAAGACAAGUUUUCGUUCAAUUAAUUGUGGCUGGAAACUUUUUAAUGGAAACAUAGCACAUACUUACUUCAUUUCAGGUUAUUAAAUUGUGUUAAGCAUAAAAGUUAUUUGCCAUUCUUUGUUGCAGCUCAUUUGUUCUUUUCGAUUCUAAGAAAUAUUAGAAGGUUAAAUAACUUAUCACAUAGGAGAGAUUAUUCAUACUACCAAAAUUAGAAUGUGUGUAGUUCUGAGGGACUGAAUGUCAAAAUUGUAUGCUCAUAGCACUAAAACUAUUGGGAAUCUAGGAUGCCACUGGAACAUGUAAAAUGGCAGCUAAGGUCUAUGGAAACCCUUCAUGUUUAGAAACUGGCUAAAGCUUGAGUUCUCUUAUCUUUUGGUUAAGGUAAGGACGUUUAUCAUUUAUGUGAAUGUUUUAGACUAAUUUCUUUAUUAGUGGUUUGAGCAAUAUUCCUUUUGAGGAAAAUAGAGAGGCAGGCAAUAUUCAUUAAUAUGUCUGACAUAAAUAAAAUAGUCAAGAUAUAUAAAGCAGCCCAAGGAGUAACAUCCUUAGCCAAAGCAUUCUGAGCUUCUGCCUUAAUAAUUAUGAUUUCUUAAGUGUUGUUAAAAAGAGUUGUACAGAGUACCUGUUCUACCAUAUUAUUGCUGUUUACAGGAGUUGGGUGUGAUGAGAAAAGGAAAGCUGGGUCAAAAUAAAAAAUGCUUUGUAAAAUAAACAAAGUUCCUAUUUACUUACUAUGUAUAAACAGCCACUCACCAAGCCUCGUUUCUCCACAGGGCACCACUUUCAGAUAAAAACAUAGACCUGAAUGGCAUCAUCCAGUAUCCAAGGAAACCAUGCUUGCUUGAAGAGUGAGCAGGUGAGCAAAGAGACAAGAUUACAUGUUUAAACCAAGAAAAGAAUCUUGAAAGUUCUCUAAACAUGAAUAUGCCUUUGGGGGAAGACAGAAGAACAUGGAAGCCAUGUGAAAAAAACGGAUCCUAAGGCAGUUUUGAACAUCUGGAGGCCUGAUUUAUUGGAGAUUGCAAAUGUACAGUGUAACAUAGCUGUGGAGAGCGAGAAGAUCAGGAUUGUCAAUGCUGUCAUUGCUUUUACUGGAAUCCCCAGCACGAAUUGAAGGUCUCACUUUGCCACCUAGGCUGGAUGCAAUGCAACGGUAUGUUGAUCUUGGUUCACUGCAGCCUCAACCUCCUGAGCUCAUGUGAUCCUCCCACCUCAGUCCCCCACGUCGCUUGGAUUACAGGCCUGUGCCACCACACCUGGCUAACUUUUUUUGUAAUUUUUGUAGAGACAGGGUCUCACUAUGUUUCCCAUGCUGGUCUUUAAUGCCUGAGCUCAAGCCAUCCGCCUGCCUCGGCCUCCCAAAUUGCUGGGAUUACAGGCAUGAGCCACCAUGCCCAGCCUAAUUCUUCUAAAUCUUAUCCUAGUAAUUAAGCCAGAAUUUUUCUCUGCCAAGACCAAUAGAUGGACCAAGAAGUACUCAUCCUUGUAAACUUUCUUUGGAUAAAUUGCUUACAUAUAAUAAAUUCAGAGUUAAGUAAUAAAAAUAAUGAACUACUGUCUUG